CGUUGUUUGGGUUUGAGCAUUAUGAGCAGGAUCUGAGGACAGGCCUUGGAGAAGCAGAUGCUGCCUGACCUGCAGAGUUCCUCAAGCAUUUUGUACGUGUUUCAGCAGAGCAAAUGUCCAGAUUAAAAGCAGGACCCAUGUCAAGCUGAGGGUCCCAUUGUAAAGUGAUAAGGUUCAUAGUUGGACUGGCCUGGAGCAUUUUCAUUUGAGGCUUUCUGUGAGAGAAAUCUACAUAUCAGCUGACUAUUCACUGAUAACCUACCCUCUUCAACAAUGCCAAGGCCAACUAUGGCCCAAGCACCAAGAGCCCAGACUACUUCGAGCCUCAAAGAGAAAUGCACUUAUCCAGCUGGACGGCACACCAAGGAGAAUUACACAACUAUUAUUCCACCCUUGAUUCCGUCCCACAGAACACUCCCGAGUUCAGCCAUGCUGUCAAUUGUGACCAACAAGAAGUCGAGAAGGUGAUAUGCCAAUUGUAAAGUAACCGGGUCGUAAGUGCAUUUGAAAUUCUAAACCUCAGAGAGGAAAUUCGGUUGCAAUUGUACAACUC